CCCACUGGGCAGGCAGCAGCAGACCGUGUAAACACCUUGAUGGAGCUCAUUCAUCACUCCCCAGGGGGCCAGCUCCGCAGUCCGCAGCCUGGCGGCCCGGCCAGACCGACUCCACCGGGAGGUCGCCUUUGGACUCACGGCCCCCUCGGUCUCGGAAGGGAGCAGCCCUUCUGUUUGUGCAGCUUAAUCCCGUGGCCAGCUUGACGGAGCAGUGUCCACAGUGCGGGUCAGCAGGAUCCCCAAAGCGGGAGGCCAAAGCCCAGCCGUCGCAGAAAACGAUGGCGAGGUUAAAGGAGAAAAUAAGUUACAUUACAGUUUCCAAAGUGGUUCUUGCUCUCUGCUGAAGAUGGGCCACCGGCAGGGCUGAAAUGCACUCUCGGUCCCAGGUCGUACUUUGCAAGAAGAGGGAAAUAACUAGCCUGGUUAUUUUAGGUUAAAAUAGCCAAGAGACAGACGCCUUCGCCUCAAAAAUAUUCUGAGACACAUACAAGUAGAAGGAAACAAGUCUCUUCAGUCACAAAAUGUCGUACAUCCCGCAUAUACUAGAUUCAAUUAAUUUAAUAAAAUAGAAUAUACAUAGA